rfam:Deltaproteobacteria bacterium GWC2_65_14 gwc2_scaffold_1082, whole genome shotgun sequence.
UUCGGCGGCGAUGGCGGAGAGGCAACACCCGUUCCCAUCCCGAACACGGAAGUUAAGCUCUCCAGCGCCGAUGGUACUACGGGGUUACCCCCGUGGGAGAGUAGGUCGCUGCCGAAU